GACGAACGCUGGCGGCGUGCUUAACACAUGCAAGUCGAACGGAAAGGCCCUGCUUUUGUGGGGUGCUCGAGUGGCGAACGUGUGAGUAACACGUGAGUAACCUGCCCUUGACUUUGGGAUAACUUCAGGAAACUGGGGCUAAUACCGGAUAGGAGCUCCUGCUGCAUGGUGGGGGUUGGAAAGUUUCGGCGGUUGGGGAUGGACUCGCGGCUUAUCAGCUUGUUGGUGGGGUAGUGGCUUACCAAGGCUUUGACGGGUAGCCGGCCUGAGAGGGUGACCGGCCACAUUGGGACUGAGAUACGGCACAGACUCCUACGGGAGGCAGCAGUGGGGAAUAUUGCACAAUGGGCGGAAGCCGGAUGCAGCAACGCCGCGUGCGGGAUGACGGCCUUCGGGUUGUAAACCGCUUUCGCCUGUGACGAAGCGUGAGUGACGGUAAUGGGUAAAGAAGCACCGGCUAACUACGUG
rnacentral:rRNA from 1 species